CGUGAGGAACCUGCCUUUCAGAGGGGGACAACAGCUGGAAACGGCUGCUAAUACCGCAUGACGCAUUCGGAUGGCAUCAUCUGAAUGCCAAAGAUUUAUCGCUGAAAGAUGGCCUCGCGUCUGAUUAGAUAGUUGGCGGGGUAACGGCCCACCAAGUCGACGAUCAGUAGCCGGACUGAGAGGUUGACCGGCCACAUUGGGACUGAGAUACGGCCCAG
rnacentral:rRNA from 1 species